AUUGAACGCUGGCGGCAGGCCUAACACAUGCAAGUCGAACGAGUGGCGGACGGGUGAGUUAUGUCUGUGAAUCUGCCUGAUGGAGGGCGUUAACUACUGGAAACGGUAGCCACUACCGCACACCAUCAGAUGGGCCCAGGUGGGAUUAGGUUGUUGGUGGGGUAAAGGCUUACCAAGGCGACGAUCCCUAACGGGUCGGAGAGGAUGACCAGCCACACUGGAACUGAGACACGGUCCAGACUCCUACGGGAGGCAGCAGUGGGGAAUAUUGCACAAUGGGCGAAAGCCUGAUGCAGCCAUGCCGCGUGUGUGAAGAAGGCCUUCGGGUUGUAAAGUACUUUCAGCGGGGAGGCGUUACCCGCAGAAGAAGCACCGGCUAACUCCGUGCCAGCCGCCGCGGUAAUAC
rnacentral:rRNA from 1 species